GGGCGAAUGGUCUAGGGGUAUGAUAUUCGCUUUGCAUGCUGACUCUGUCAGACGUAAUGCUUGCGAAGGGUCCGGGGUUCAAAUCCCCGUUCGUCCA